rnacentral:rRNA from 1 species
GGGAUUGCCCUAGUAACGGCGAGUGAAGCGGCAACAGCUCAAAUUUGAAAUCUGGCGCAAGCCCGAGUUGUAAUUUGUAGAGGAUGCUUCUAGGUAGCGACCGGUUUAAGUUCCUUGGAACAGGACGUCAUAGAGGGUGAGAAUCCCGUAUGUGACCGGCCCGCACCUUCUACGUAGCUCCUUCGACGAGUCGAGUUGUUUGGGAAUGCAGCUCUAAAUGGGAGGUAAAUUUCUUCUAAAGCUAAAUACCGGCCAGAGACCGAUAGCGCACAAGUAGAGUGAUCGAAAGAUGAAAAGCACUUUGGAAAGAGAGUUAAAAAGCACGUGAAAUUGUUGAAAGGGAAGCGCUUACAACCAGACUUCUGGGCGGUGUUCCGCCGGUCUUUUGACCGGUCUACUCGCCGUCCCGAGGCCAACAUCAUCUGGGACCGCUGGAUAAGACCUUAGGAAUGUAGCUUCCCUCGGGAAGUGUUAUAGCCUCUGGUGAUGCAGCGCGUCUCGGGUGAGGUCCGCGCUUCGGCAAGGAUGUUGGCGUAAUGGUUGUCAGCGGCCCGUCUUGAAACACGGACCAAGGAGUCUAACAUCUAUGCGAGUGUUCGGGUGUCAAACCCCUACGCGUAAUGAAAGUGAACGGAGGUGGGAAGGGUAACCUGCACCAUCGACCGAUCCUGAUGUCCUCGGAUGGAUUUGAGUAAGAGCAUAGCUGUUGGGACCCGAAAGAUGGUGAACUAUGCCUGAAUAGGGUGAAGCCAGAGGAAACUCUGGUGGAGGCUCGCAGCGGUUCUGACGUGCAAAUCGAUCGUCAAA